UUUCAAACAGCGCUGGGGCGUGCGUUGAUUUCUCACAACAUCAGCCGUCGGUGACCGGGCUCAGACCGUGUGAAACUCACUGCAUUGGAGCAUCCCCGGAUCGAUAAGCAGGCUUCGAUGGGGCUGGCCACCAUGCUGCUUGGGGUGUCCGGGAGCUGGGAAGGAAUGGAGCCCAGGUCACUCCCUGCGGUGGAGUUCGAUCCGGGUCCCCCAUCAGAGAACCCCAUCUAACGACGAGAGGGAGGGGAGACGUUGAGCAGAGGCAAAGAUUCCCCCGUGUGGAUCUUCACACGCUAAGUACUCACACUAUAACGCGUUUUCUCCAGCAGCUGUCCUUCCAUACAACAUUGAACGUGCGCCGUUGUAAGUCGGAACGCGCGGCCUAGUAAGGCGGAACGCGCGCUGUUAUAAUGUGGAACACUCUCUGUUAUAAUACAGAAUGCACUCCGUUAUCACGCAGAACACGCUCCGUUAUAAUACAGAAUGCACUCCAUUAUAACACAGAACGUGCGCCAUUAUAACGCAGUUUCUGAGCGGUCAAUGACGAACUACUUUCUUGAGCAGCGUGGCUGAGCGGUAUGGUGAUGCAGUAGGCAGAACGAUAAAGUAACGUGGCGACAAACCCUAAGUUAUUUGUCCCGCCAUCUUACCGUGUAUGCACGUACAUCGUAACUUGCCGAACUUUAUCGUUACGUUAAUUAUGGGGAAAUUAUAGUCGCUUCACACGUUUUUCACUUAACGCGGCACUUUUCAGGAACGAAUCUACAUCGUUAGAGGACUUCCUGUAUAUAUAACAGCUGCUGAGCACAGGCCCAAAGGCCUGAAAUGCUGAGUGGUGAUCAACAAACGGUAAAAUUGAAGUUGUGAUAGAUAAGAGUUGCUCCAUUUUUUUUGCAUUCAGCAAAGUUACGAGA